rnacentral:rRNA from 1 species
GACGAACCACACGAACGUUAUUCGGAAUUACUGGGCUUAAAGGGUGCGUAGGUGGUUGAGUAAGUUAAGUGUGAAAUCCCCGGGCUUAACCUGGGAACUGCGCUUAAUACUGCUUAACUAGAGUACUGUAGAGGAAGGUGGAAUUUCCAGUGUAGCGGUGAAAUGCGUAGAUAUUGGAAGGAACAUCAGUGGCGAAGGCGACUUUCUGGACAGAUACUGACACUGAGGCACGAAAGCAUGGGGAGCAAACAGG